UACGGAGGGUGCAAGCGUUAUCCGGAUUCACUGGGUUUAAAGGGUGCGUAGGAGGGCAGGUAAGUCAGUGGUGAAAUCUCCAAGCUUAACUUGGAAACUGCCGUUGAUACUAUCUGUCUUGAAUAUGGUGGAGGUGAGCGGAAUAUGUCAUGUAGCGGUGAAAUGCUUAGAUAUGACAUAGAACACCGAUUGCGAAGGCAGCUCGCUACACCUAUAUUGACUCUGAGGCACGAAAGCGUGGGGAUCAAACAGG
rnacentral:rRNA from 1 species